rnacentral:tmRNA from 1 species
GGGGAUGAUUAGGAUUCGACUGGAAGAGUGAAGUAAAUGUCGCAUGUAGAGGUGCGGGUGGCCUCUUAAAAACUCGCAUAAAGAUAAUCGCAAACGAUGAAUCUUUCGCUCUCGCUGCUUAAUCAGUUUUAAAGAGCAAACAGUAAGAACAGCUUAAUAACCUGUAUCUUACCCUGGAACCAUCUUUAUCCGAUUGGGGUGGAAUUCCGGGUCACCAAUAUCGGACAGGGUGUAUCCUCGGCUGGUGGAAAAACCUUAAAUUAAACAGUCUAGCAAUGUGACAGCGCGUCCGUCCGCGGUUGCAAAGCGAAAUUUAAAUGGCAAGACUAAACAUGUAGAAGCAGUUAUGGAGCCUUUUGGGACGCGGGUUCAAAUCCCGCCAUCUCCACCA